ensembl:lncRNA
CUGGUUUUGUCUUUUCCAGCCGUCACCCCUCUCUCCAUGUGUCGGGGUGUUACUCAGGACCCCAGUAACAGGUUUGAUUGGAAAGCAUUUGCCCCUGGCAACCAAUCCGUCGCUAGCACCACACAGGCUGUUACCAUGGCAACCGAAGGGGGCAGGAGGUGUAAAGGGAUGAUUUGGUCCAUUGACUGUUUGGACUCUCAUUUUGUCGGCACCCAUUCACUGCAGAGGAUCCAUUGUUGAACAUGUGAUGUAAUUCUACAUUUCUCCAAGUCUGUUUGGAUGAAGAAACAAGCUCUUCUAAAUUGUGGAUGGCCUGAGAGUGUAAACAGAGACUUAGUAUGUAGCUGCCUGAGCAGACAGACAGUGUACCUGAUGUCAUUACCUGUUUCUGGAUUGAGUUGGUACCAGAGUAAGAUUAGGUACUGGACCGGCCCCAGAAGGUCCCAUCUGCCUCCUCCAGCGACACCGUGACCUCUGGCAAUAAAACUGAUGUAAGCGUAAACGAGAAGAAAGCAGGAAAAAGAAAGAGUCUGUCAGCACCCACACAGUGUUUAUUCCUCAUCAUCCAACACCACAGCAGCUCUGGCAUCUGUUACGCCCAGAGUAUGUGUCUGCGAGGCGGCAUGCUGCCAGAUCUCACAGCUGCCAGAGAGAGAGAGAGAGACAGAGAGAGAGAGAGACAAGGGGGAAAUAAACUGCCGCACAACUGGAAUGCAGUCAACAGUCGGUUCCUCAGGCGUCUGUAACGUCACAAUCAGGCAUCUGCAUCGCCGCUGCGAGAAACCUUCACCCUGACCAGCCGUUCACUCUUUUCAGUGUAAACACACUGCACGUCUCGAGUCACUAUAUCAAUAUCCAAAACCCAAGAGUCCUCAAGAGUUCAAAACUCUCAAAAAAGGGUCUGGAAGUGAAGUGUAGUGGAAAAUCUUCCCUCCUUGAAUCUCCAGUGCUGUGUGUGCGGUGUGAUGUUAUGACAGCUCUUACAGAUGUACAUGCUCCACUUUUCCAUACAACAACACUUCAUAGUGACCACGUCCUGUCAGGC